rnacentral:lncRNA from 1 species
CUCAUUAAUCUGUUUCCAAGAAAAGAACAUUUUGAAUAACACUAACAGCGAAUAUACUACAAGUGAAAAUUGAAAAGCAUAUUUCCAGGAAAUGUUUCUGUCGUCCUAAGGAGAAGCAAGUCAUUGGAUCCAGCCCAUGCGAAAAGGGAGAGGAAUCAGGAUCUGCUUCCCGAAGAGAGACAGAUUUGUGAAAAUCACUAUCAGG